rnacentral:rRNA from 1 species
AGAUUGAACGCUGGCGGCAGGCCUAACACAUGCAAGUCGAGCGGCAGCACGGGUACUUGUACCUGGUGGCGAGCGGCGGACGGGUGAGUAAUGCCUAGGAAUCUGCCUGGUAGUGGGGGAUAACGCUCGGAAACGGACGCUAAUACCGCAUACGUCCUACGGGAGAAAGCAGGGGACCUUCGGGCCUUGCGCUAUCAGAUGAGCCUAGGUCGGAUUAGCUAGUUGGUGAGGUAAUGGCUCACCAAGGCGACGAUCCGUAACUGGUCUGAGAGGAUGAUCAGUCACACUGGAACUGAGACACGGUCCAGACUCCUACGGGAGGCAGCAGUGGGAAUAUUGGACAAGUGGGCGAAAGCCUGAUCCAGCCAUGCCGCGUGUGUGAAGAGGUCUUCGGAUGUAAAGCACUUUAAGUGGAGAAGGCAGUACCUAAUACGUAUCUGUUUGACGUUACGACAGAAUAAGACACCGG